rnacentral:rRNA from 1 species
GACGGAGGAUGCAAGCGUUAUCCGGAAUGAUUGGGCGUAAAGCGUCCGCAGGUGGCAGUUCAAGUCUGCUGUCAAAGACCGGGGCUUAACUUCGGAGAGGCAGUGGAAACUGAACAGCUAGAGUAUGGUAGGGGCAGAGGGAAUUCCUGGUGUAGCGGUGAAAUGCGUAGAGAUCAGGAAGAACAUCGGUGGCGAAGGCGCUCUGCUGGACCAUAACUGACACUCAGGGACGAAAGCUAGGGGAGCGAAUGGG